UACGGAGGGUGCAAGCGUUAUUCGGAAUUACUGGGCGUAAAGCGUGUGCAGGCGGUUUGUUAAGUCUGCUGUGAAAUCCCCGAGCUCAACUUGGGAAUUGCAAUGGAUACUGGCAGGCUCGAGUAUGGUAGAGGAAGGUGGAAUUCCCGGUGUAGCAGUGAAAUGCGUAGAGAUCGGGAGGAACACCAGUGGCGAAGGCGGCCUGCUGGGUCGAUAUUGACGCUGAGGGACGAAAGCGUGGGGAGCAAACAGG
rnacentral:rRNA from 1 species